ACUGAAGCCGUUUUGUAAAACUGAUCUGUUUGAUUUGUGCAACUGCGCGGGAACACAAGUCUCACAGCUUAACGCUGAUAGAAGAAGCAAUUGAAUUCUACAAGGAACAGGUGAAAUCUUCUUUCGAAUCUCUCACAGAAAUGGAAUCAGAGAUCCAGAAAAUGGAGCAGGAAUAGAAAAAGAGCAUUUCUGGAGUUCAGGAAGAGUCACACAACCUUCAGUCACUGAUCACAUCCCAGUUUGCUGAACUGCACCAGAUUCUCACUGAGAAAGAGCAGCGCUUACUCGGAGAUGUCCGGGAAGAAGGGGAGAAGAUUGUAAAAACAAUGGAGAAAAAUCUUCAAGAGAUUCAAGAGAAUUUAAAUUCCAUUCAGGAGGAACUCUCAAAAUUACAGGGACAGAUAGACCACAAGGACGGUGUGAUAUUUCUGAAGAUAAAAUCCCACGACCUGCCCGGUCUUACUCGUAAGUUGCAUACUCGCAGUUAUUUUCAUCGACAUU